GAUGCAUGUAAAGGCCUAACUAAACUAAAGGAACUUGUGUGGGAGCCAUCUGGUCUAGUCGCGUAAUGGCUGCCAGACUUGUGGAAAGCAGUUAGGGUUAUUUUAGACGAGUGCAUUCGUAAUAUAUAUAAAUAGUCCUACCAAGAGCAAAAAGUUGGCAAUUGCAACACAUCAUCAGAGAAGACACAGCAGAAUUUUUUGAACCACGCUACUUAAUUGAAACUGAAUCAAAUUCUUAGGAUUACUCUAGGUUGAGUAAGGAUGGCUGCAAAUGUACCAUAUACGUACCUGUACCGAGUAUUAAGGACGGACGAAGAUGUUUCUGGCGGGAUUCAAGCGAGAAGACCCAUGGCAAAUUACACAAUUGAAGAACAUGUUGCAAACGGUUCUUACAUGUCGACCCAGUUCAUAUCUACAACGGCGUCUUUGGAGUCUGCUAAAGACUUUGCAAGGAAGAGCUUUGGCUAUACGCCUGGAUCUCGAAAUGUUCCUUGAAUUGAUACAACCAGACUUGGUCAGAUUGUUCAAUAUACAGACCUCACUAAUUCAACAGUGUUGUACGGACAAAUACCAGACGAUGCACGAGCACAAAAUUUUGCUCGAAAGUUUAAUGAAGUGGUCAUUACCGGACAUAUUCCUGCAAAUUGCAUAGACAGAAUAUUUAGUGUGUGAAGUGAAUACGACCAGUGACAGUAUGCCAGUGCGUUUUAAUCCACGUAAUACACCGUUAUGAAAAGGAUCAAUCUUUCUAAUUGAGUCCUGGGAACACUGGCUGACAAUUUUUUAGCUUUCAUUUGUUUUCUGAAAAUGAACAUAAAUUUGUGUUCCGGUAUCAUUUUUGAUGGAUUAAACUUAAAUCAUAGGCGAUAUCCUAGACCAGACUUACAAAAUAGAUGUGGAAAGAUGUUCAAUCUAUAUUAAGGGCACUACAUUUUGUUUUGCCAAACGCCUCGAUAAUCAAUUGACUAGUAUAAUCGUUUAUAUAAUUAUUUAUUUAUUUAUUUGGGUUUUACGGCGCACCAAUACAGUAUAGGUUAUAUGGCGCCAAAGAAGGACUAAAAAUUUUGGUUUUACAUCUCAUUUACAUAGAAAUAAAAACAUGAGGUAUGGAAUCAAAGUUUGCAUACCUGCCGGAAGCACAGAGUUACAGCAAAACCAAGUGUUAAGACCCUAUUAAUCGCCUCUUACGAUCAUGCAAGGGUAAGGCAGUGGUUCCAAUUCUUUUCAUACACAGAUCGUCCCAGAACCACAUGGGGCAGUUUAUAUAAUAAUAAACUAUUUUAACAUGUAUAUAAUAAUUAACUAGUAUAAACGUUUAUAUAAUUAUUGGCUAGUAUAAACAUGUAUGCUAUACGUGGCUCGUGCUUUAGUUUUGUUUCUUUUUAUUCAUUACUUAGAAAUUCCUUUUUAUUUAAAAAUUGAAGACAAGACAAUAUUACAAAGUUACUUUUUAAAACUAUCAAGAUUAUUUAUAUAUUUAUUUUAUAUUUAGUUGCAUUUUUUCCCAUAUUUUAAUAUGUUUUGACAUAAAAGCAGUUUCUUCUUAUAUUUCUUUUCAUAUAAAAAUUCCUUUUUAAUAGAUAUGUGUGCUAGAAUUUUAUUUACUACGAAACAUGGGAAGUUGUUGUUGUUUGCCAUGAUUGUUCAUGUGUCCUUUUCUAAAUCACAUGGUGCUAAUGAUGUAAUUUAUAUUCUAAUUCCAACAUAGCAAAGAAAGCGGUAUUUUUCUGAUGUAUUUUGUUCUAUUACUGAGUUUAUGUAAGACAGUUACUAUAUUCUGAAAUAUAAAGUUCAAGUUCUGUCA
rnacentral:lncRNA from 1 species